rnacentral:rRNA from 1 species
UACGUAGGUGUCAAGCGUUGUCCGGAUUUAUUGGGCGUAAAGCGCCCGCAGGCGGCUUGCCAAGUUCGAUGUGAAAGCCCCCGGCUCAACUGGGGAGGGUCAUUCGAUACUGAUCGACUGGAAGGCAGGAGAGGGAAGCGGAAUUCCCGGUGUAGUGGUGAAAUGCGUAGAUAUCGGGAGGAACACCAGUGGCGAAGGCGGCUUGGGGGGGGGUUCUUGACGCUGAGGCGCGAAAGCUAGGGGAGCAAACGGG